AUUGAACGCUGGCGGCAGGCUUAACACAUGCAAGUCGAGCGGGGUGAUGGUGCUUGCACUAUCACUUAGCGGCGGACGGGUGAGUAAUGCUUAGGAAUCUGCUUAUUAGUGGGGGAUAACAUCUCGAAAGGGAUGCUAAUACCGCAUACGUCCUACGGGAGAAAGCAGGGGAUCACUUGUGACCUUGCGCUAAUAGAUGAGCCUAAGUCGGAUUAGCUAGUUGGUGGGGUAAAGGCCUACCAAGGCGACGAUCUGUAGCGGGUCUGAGAGGAUGAUCCGCCAAACGGGGACUGAGACACGGCCCAGACUCCUACGGGAGGUAGCAGUGGGGAAUAUUGGACGAUGGGGGGAACCCUGAUCCAGCCAUGCCGCGUGUGUGAAGAAGGCCUUAUGGUUGUAAAGCACUUUAAGCGAGGAGGAGGCUCUUUUGGUUAAUACCCAAGAUGAGUGGACGUUACUCGCAGAAUAAGCACCGGCUAACUCUGUGCCAGCCGCCGCGGUAA
rnacentral:rRNA from 1 species